AUACGGAGGGUGCAAGCGUUACUCGGAAUUACUGGGCGUAAAGCGCGCGUAGGCGGCUUAUUAAGUCAGAUGUGAAAUCCCCGGGCUCAACCUGGGAACUGCAUCUGAUACUGGUAAGCUAGAGUUUUGGAGAGGGAAGUAGAAUUUCAGGUGUAGCGGUGAAAUGCAUAGAGAUCUGAAGGAAUACCAGUGGCGAAGGCGACUUCCUGGCCAAAAACUGACGCUGAGGUGCGAAAGCGUGGGUAGCAAACGGGAUUAGAAACCCCGGUAGUCC
rnacentral:rRNA from 1 species